rnacentral:sRNA from 1 species
UACGGAGAUGCCAGUUACGGCGGCGUUGGUUUUUAAGGAAAUAAAAAAAAGUUUUUCCCCAAUGGGGGGGGGCCCCUUGAUUUGGGUCAACACCAUUUUUGCCCCUCCUGCGUCGCCCGGUCCCACGGUGGUGCCCGCCGGAGGACCAACCAAAACUCUUAUUGUAUACCCCCUCGCGGGUUUUUUAUAAUCUGAGCCUUCUCGGCGCCUCUCGUAGGCGUUUCGAAAAUGAAUCAAAACUUUCAACAACGGAUCUCUUGGUUCUGGCAUCGAUGAAGAACGCAACAAAAUGCGAUAAGUAAUGUGAAUUGCACAAUUCACUGAAUCAUCGAAUCUUUGAACGCACAUUGCGACCGCCAAUAUUCCGGCGGGCAUGCCUGUCCGAGCCUCAUUUCCUACCUCGAACCCCUGCGGGGGGUCGGCAAUCGGGGACGUUUGUCGACCGGGUCUUCUACCACCAAAUCAUCGGGUGCAGUCGGCCGGAUGCGACAUGUCAAGACUGCUCAGCCGUAUGCCCUGGUCGGGGCCUCCCACCCCAACCUGGCCCA